rnacentral:misc_RNA from 1 species
GUGAAUCAUCGAAUGUUUGAACGCAAAUUGCACUCUCUUCGGUGAGUAUGCGUGUUUGAGGGUCAGUUCUAAUGAAAAUCGACGUGUUGCUCUAAUGUGACGUUUCGGAGUUUGGGUCAUCUUAUAACAACACGCUUUCAGGGUAUGAUUAAGAGGCUCAGAAUUGACGUUUAUUGUGCAUUUUAGACGUUCAUAUGUUUUUUUUUAUUCGUCUAUCUUAAUGCCAAAUCUCUAUUAGAUGCUACUAUAUCGUAGGGUUUGGUGUCUAUAAAUUUUUCUUGAUUUGACU